rnacentral:rRNA from 1 species
UACGGGGGGGGCAAGCGUUGUUCGGAAUUACUGGGCGUAAAGGGCUCGUAGGCGGCCAACUAAGUCAGACGUGAAAUCCCUCGGCUUAACCGGGGAACUGCAUCUGAUACUGGAUGGCUUGAGUUCGGGAGAGGGAUGCGGAAUUCCAGGUGUAGCGGUGAAAUGCGUAGAUAUCUGGAGGAACACCGGUGGCGAAGGCGGCAUCCUGGACCGACACUGACGCUGAGGAGCGAAAGCCAGGGGAUCAAACGGG